rnacentral:rRNA from 1 species
GACAGAGGGUGCAAACGUUGUUCGGAAUUACUGGGCGUAAAGCGAGUGUAGGCGGCUUGGCAAGUCGGAUGUGAAAGCCCCGGGCUCAACCCGGGAAGUGCACUCGAUACUGCUUAGCUUGAGUGUCGGAGAGGUUGGUGGAAUUCUCGGUGUAGAGGUGAAAUUCGUAGAUAUCGAGAGGAACAUCGGCGGCGAAGGCGGGUCUCUGGGCCGAUACUGACGCUGAGGAGCGAAAGCGUGGGGAGCGAACAGG